UUCUUCAAUCAUCACAGCAUCAAUCUUUCUCUACAACACAAGGCGUCGAAGCAUCUUCAACACCUCUGCGAAUUGCAUCAUCAUCAUCAUCAUCACAACACUCUGAAUCACCGGCAGAUCCCACACUCUUCUUUUCAACGUCAAAAUAGAUUCUCUACUUCUACGCAUCAAUCUACUACAUAUCUUUAUCCUCGAGCAUUUCACAACAACAAUACAAAAUAUAAGUCAAUAAAAGGUUCAGAAGUAGAAGAGAAGAAGUGGAGCAAGAAUCAGACAAAGGUGAAAUUUGAGAAUUUACCUCAGAACAAUCAUUGGAGUUCGUCAUCACCUCGUCGGAAUCGCCGCCGCAAGUUGGUUUCUUUACUUAGAUAUCUGUUAUUGGAGUUUUUAUAUGUGAAAUUGGUGUAG